rnacentral:tRNA from 1 species
ACUUGGCUGGCUCAGUAGGAAGAGCAUGUGACUUUUGAUCUCGGGGUCAUGAGUUUGAACCUCAUAUUGGGUA